UGGGGAAUAUUGCACAAUGGGCGCAAGCCUGAUGCAGCCAUGCCGCGUGUAUGAAGAAGGCCUUCGGGUUGUAAAGUACUUUCAGCUGGGAGGAAGGGAGUAAAGUUAAUACCUUUGCUCAUUGACGUUACCCGCAGAAGAAGCACCGGCUAACUCCGUGCCAGCAGCCGCGGUAAUACGGAGGGUGCAAGCGUUAAUCGGAAUUACUGGGCGUAAAGCGCACGCAGGCGGUUUGUUAAGUCAGAUGUGAAAGCCCCCGGCUAAACCGGGGAGGGUCAUUGGAAACUGGGAGACUUGAGUGCAGAAGAGGAGAGUGGAAGUCCACGUGUAGCGGUGAAAUGCGUAGAUAUAUGGAGGAACACCAGUGGCGAAGGCGGCUCUCUGGUCUGUAACUGACGCUGAGGCUCGAAAGCGUGGGGAGCAAACAGG
rnacentral:rRNA from 1 species